UUUUUUUUUUUUUUUUUUUUUUUGCCAUGAAUUGUCCGAGUUCUUUCCUUCCGUUAUCCGGUUCAAAUCAUCCCAGUGUGCUAAAACAGCAAGCAUUUUUUCUUUUUUCAUUAUUUUUGUCCCACCGUCAUUCUCUUUCUAAUUUUGUUAAAGAACAAAAUCGCUACGUUUUCAAUAUUUUUCAAUCACUUUUUAUCUCACAUGUAUCAAAUCGCUAUAGUAAUUUUUUUUUAUAAAAAAUCUAAAAAAAUAUAAUCCAAACACAUCCUUAACUUUAGCUAUUUUAAGUAAUUAUUCUUCCACCAGGAGAAAAAGAGUCUGAGCCCAGUACGCUGCUGCACAUGCAUUUAUCAGAGAAGAAGAGAUCCAUCCACAGCUUUUACCAUUUCGGUCCUACUAAUUGUAUCUUUGUACCGUCUCCUACUAAUUUGAGAUCCAUUAUUUGUUUAAUCUUUAUCUCGACAUGUCAUCCAGGUUUAUCUUCCAAACGCUACCGCCACGCGGCGGCAAUUGACGAAUUAUUCUGAUCACCUCUCCGACUCUCCCCUCCUCUCGGCUUUCAAGAAACCAAAAAGGAAACAAAAAUACGUACCGAGAACUCAAACCCCUCUUAUUAAAUUAGACAGACAGUCGGAUUACGUGUGCUGAGGUUUGGGGGCUUUUACGAUUUGCCAAUCGAGGUACACAUCACCAUUCAUUUCACCUCAAGUGUAAAAUGGAUAAAAAUACCUCCUGAAGUGAAGUGUAUGUAAUUCCUGUUGGUUGUCAGUCAACGGAGUUAAAAUUAAAUAUUUGAAUUAAUUAAAUAAUAUAAAAUUUUUUAGAUAAAAUUUGUGCUCGAAAUUACUUAUCACUAAAGGUUUGUUUGAUAACAUAAAAAAAUGCUGAAUCUAAAUUUUUUCAGACAUUCAGAUGUUUUGAGUGUUUGAUAAAUGAAAAUCCAUUUGCUAAACUUGUUAAGUAGUGUUCAACUUGUGUAUAUUUUUUUUCAGUACAAGAAUUCUAACUGAAUGCUUAAUUCUGAUAAGAAUCAAUAGAAUUACUUCAAUUACCUUGUUUUAUCUAUCAAAUCAACCCUUGUUUGUUAAUUAUGUUCAAAAUUCUUAUCUAAUUAAAUAAUGUAAUCUUUUCUAUCUAAUGAUUUUCUAUUUCUUUUUUCUCCUUUUUGAAUGGUUUUCACAUAUUCUCCAUACUUUUCAUAUAAUAUAUUUCAUCUUUUAUAUUAAUUUGACUUAAAAAUUAAUAUUGUCAUUUUCAUACCUAAUAUUUUUAGCUAAUUAAAUGAUAGGUUUUAUUUCUUUUUUGGAUGACAAGAUAUUUGGACAAAUUUGUCAAAUUUAACUUAUUAAGCAUUCAGUUAUAAAUGUUUAUCAAACAAUAUAAAUAGGUUUAUCAUUAAAAUCCAGGCAUUCAUAUAUUUCUUUUCAGUGCUUAAAAUUCAGCAAAUUAAUUAUCUCAAUAUUCAAAUUUCAGACUUCAGAAUUCAUAUUCAGUUUUAUCAAACGGAACCUAAAUGAAAUAUGCAUCCAAAUACAUUUGAUUUAAUAUUUAACAAUUUAAUAGAUUCAAACUUCAAUUUUAUCAAACGCCACCUUAACUCCAAAUUUUAACACGGAGAACUAAUGUGCUCUUAUAAUUGGAGGCAGCCAGCACUUGUUCUUAGUUGUACAUAUGAAAAAAAUAACUCAUUGUUCCUUCUCUCUCAACCCAAAAAUAACUCCUCCAAAAAAUUUAGGUGCUUCAAAAUUAAUGCAAUGAAAAAAAGUAAAUUACAUCCAAGACAUUUCGUACCCAAGAUAAAGGAAGGGAUGCAAGUAAGUUAUUCCUGCCAUUUGGAAAUAAGAUUAGUACUGCACAGCAGCUCAAAACACAUAUGAUAUACUUACCUUUUAGAGAAAGGGGAAAAAAAAAAAACAAUCAAUGGUGAUUCUCCAUUUAUCCCUCAAAACAAACAUAUUCCACUACUAAGGAAAAGAUAGCAGUCAUUUCACGUUAACCACAAUUUAUCUCAUCGAAUUUCCUUUCAAUGGCAGGGUAACCAGUAUACUAAUUGAAGAAUAAAUUUGGCAUACUAAUUUAUUCGUUGGCACCAAAACACUAAAAUGCAUUGAAAAAAAAAAUUUAUAGACACUAACAUAACAAUUGUAGAUAUUAAGAUAAUAAUGUAUAAAUAUAUAAAAUAAACUUUGACAUUCUUUAAAAAUCGCGUUUCACAUUAAAUGUCAUCCACGUAAUUUUAAAUCAAAUUAAUCAACCCAAUUGACUGUUAUCUACGAUUAAAACACUAAUGGCAGAGAAUCCACGCUCUUGUCGUGACAGGGGAAGCGGGCAAAUGCAGAGAAUCUUAGACUUUGUUUGGAAAGCAAAUUUUCAAGGAAAAAUUUGUUACGUUUUUUUCGUAAACAUAUUUUUCAACCACCUUUUUAUCUUACAUAUAUUAAAUUAAUAUAAUAAUUUUUUUAUAAAAAUAUUUCAGAAAAAUAUAAUCCAAAAAAAAGUCUUAAUAUGGAGGCCACAAGAAAGUCGAGAAAUGCGAUUUUCUUCAAAUUCAAUUAAUUACUUACUCUUUAAAAGCUUUUCUAAUCUAAAAUAUAAGAAUGAGACAAGAGAAUUAAUUGCCUAGGUGGUUUCCAAAAACCAAAAAGAGAGUCGUGGUUAGCAUAGAAGUCUAGGGAUGGAGAUGUCAUUCAUCCAAUGGUUAGCAUAUAAUUUUCCUUUCUAGCUCCUAAAAACCACCCGACUAGAGGCAAAUGACAAAUAGGAGUGUAGUUACUUCAAUUAAGUUAAUUAAUUUCUGGGGCAUUUAUAGUUUUAACUCUUUCUACAUGUCUUACUCUAGUCCAUUUCCCACUCCACCGCCUUUGGAACUCUAUCAGCCGUCGGUUUAAAAUUUUUUUUUAAAAAAAGUUAACCAGACAACCUUAUAAUACCCGGCUGUCACCCGUCCAGUUCAUCACAGCUAAAUCACAGCCAACCACUCUAUCCACCCUCCAUUAACAUUAUUACACGCGCCCAACAACGAACUAGUCUGCUCGGCUCCAAGAUGUCAGCUUAGCAAAUCCCACUAUUUUUGACCGCAUCAGUAAUGCAUAGGCAUAGCUCACAGUAUUUUAACCGAACCAGGGUUAGCCUAACCCAACCAUGAUUUAACCCCACUACUUCCCUGCUGUUUAUAUACCGACUGAAAGAAACCGCUGCCCUCAUCCAUCAUCCAGAAAGAAAAUCAACGCAACUGAAAAUCACCCCACGAAAAAAUGAUGAUCGGAGAGCGAAACCACCCAAACCCAGUUGUCCACGUUCCUCCAUGGCCGGCGUCAUUCGCCGAUGAUCAAACGGCCGAUGUUUCUAUGACCUUGAGCCCUAAUGCCAAUGCUCACUCUAGCCCCAGCUUCGAUGACUACUCCUUUUGCCUCCAGACCGAUGUUCUCACGGCCCUCCAACGUUUUCUGCCGUCCAACCUUAAAACAAACUUGACUGAUCUUGUACUGGAGGAUCUCGACGCCGCUGAAAACGACGACGGUUUCGGGAAAGACUUGGAUCUUCCGGUGGACGCCUACUCAUGCGAUCACUUCCGCAUGUUCGAGUUUAAAGUGAGGAAGUGCAUGCGUGGCAGGUCGCAUGACUGGACCGAGUGUCCGUACGCUCAUCCGGGAGAAAAAGCUCGCCGGAGGGACCCGCGCAAGUAUCAUUAUUCCGGCACUGCAUGCCCGGAUUUUCGUAAGGGGAGCUGUAAGAAAGGUGACGCUUGCGAGUUCGCACACGGCGUAUUUGAGUGCUGGCUCCACCCUGCUCGCUAUCGUACGCAGCCAUGCAAGGAUGGGCUUAAUUGUAAGCGUAGGGUGUGUUUCUUUGCUCACUCGCCGGAGCAACUGAGGGUUCUCAGCCCACGCGCUGAUUCGUACGACGGGUCUCCUCAUCGACUUGCUCUGGAGGCGUCUUUUGGCAAGGCGCUGCAGUUCAUGUCGUCGCCGGAAUCGGGCUCGCCGCCGUCCGAGUCGCCACCGAUGUCUCCGAUGACGACUUCCACCUCCAUGAGCUCUCUGAGUCGGUCCUUGGGUUCCAACUCGGUCAGUGAGAUCAUGGCGUCACUGCGUCAGCUGCAGCUGAAUAAGGUUCAGUCCGUGCCGUCUUCUUGGGCCUUGCAGGCGGGUGGCUCGGGAUCCGGGACGCCCAGGGCGGUCAUGACCCGGCCUGGUUCCUACAGCUUGCCAUCGACCCCGACGAGGACGGUGGGCCGGAACGGGAUGCGAUACUUUGACAACUGGGACAAGGGAGGGGGCGAAGAGGAGCCAAUGAUGGAGAGGGUGGAGUCCGGGAGGGAUUUGAGGGCCAAGAUAUUCCAGAAACUGAGCAAAGAGAAUCCCUUGGAUUGGGUGGAUCCGAAGCCGUCUGAUGCCCCCCCGAAUCCGGAUGUUGGGUGGGUGUCGGAUCUGAUCCAGUGAAGAGCUGGAGGUGGUCUGGACAUGAUGAAGCGUGUUGUUUUUGGGUAUUCAUUAGUAAUGAUUUUGUUGAUUUAAGGUGGGCUUUAGAUUUGGCGCCUCUCUCCCCAGCAUGUGACCGUAUAAUUUUUCGGGGAAGAGCGAAGCAGGGAAGGUUAAGAUGAAAAAAAAAAAAAAAAAAGAAUUCUGUACAUACAAGCGGUGGUAAUUACUAAUUAGUAGAAGUAUGAAAUAUAUAUAUAUAUAGUAAAGAGCAGUACCAAAAAUGGUGCUUGGCUUGGAGGGUGAUGAAGACUGGAGAGAGUAGGCAGAUUCUGUUGUCUUGGGUGGAAAGAAAGAUUGGGUGGUGUUUUUGGGCUGCUCAUCAAAACUGCCAAGAAGGGACUGGGUAGCACUUUAAGCGGACAGACUAACAGCAGCUGAAGAAGAUUGUUGUGUUAUUUAACUUAUUCCGGGUUUUUAUUAUUAUUAUUAUUAUAUUAUAUAAAUUGUGAUGAAAGUUGGUAUCGUGGGAUGAUAUGUAAGUAAAUUUGUAUGUAUUUCCCCAUUCCAUAAAAUGUCACUCCACUCCGUACUGUAAAUAUGGACGGACGAGCCAAGUCUCUCUAUGCUUUCUGUAAUUCCCCUAUGAAUGAAUGAUGAUCAAUAUGAUUAUCCCCGCGUGUAUUGCUGCUCUGCUAUCAUAUCCCCACAUAUCAUUCGAGGCUUCUACACCUUGGCCUUUUUUUUUGAAAUUUUGCCUUUGUUCAUUUUUCUUGUUUCUCAUCACCACACCACUGGAAAUUGUACUACUCUGUACAUAUACAUAGAUAGGUUACUUACUCGCAGCAGAAAAAAAACAUAUGGGGUAGUGGUACGGACAGAAGUGGUAAAAUAUAUAUGUAUAUGUAUAUGCAUGCCCAACAGGAGAUGUGUAUGUAUGAAUAAUGAUAUAUUUAUGUGUCUGGAUCGAAGAGACAGUGAUGGGAUUUGUGGGUUGGGAAGAAUGUGAGGUCCCCGAGGGGGGAUGGGGAGAAAGGAGGAGGAGGAGGUGCAGAAGUGUUGUGUUUUUAAGGGGGGGGGGGGGGGGGGACAGUUGAGAUUUUGCCUUUAGGAAAAGUUGGGAGGGUGGAGAGAUCUUCUUUUGUUUUGACGUGGCCAGGAAAUCUGGAGAAAAUUCUGAUGGUUCCUUAUCCCUUCACGGUGUGAAGACGCAAUGCAACAUUUAAUGGGAUUAGGAUGUCCUUUUAGAAUUAUGAAUGAAUCACUUGCAAAUGCGCUCUCCGUCCGUUAAUAGAUAUGUAUAGAGUACUUGGAAAAUUUUACAUAACAUAAACUUUCACAUCAUAAAAAAAAAAAAAAAGUAAUUCAUCUUUAAAAAUUGAAUUGUAGCUAGUAGGUAUGAUUGAAUUGAAUAAAGGUCCUUAUAGCAAAAAUUAAAGUCUCCUCCCUCUUUUGAUCGAGUCUCGGUGUAGAGAGAGGUGGGGGGGUCUUGUUGUGCGAAGUAAUAGUAGAGUACAGAGAGCAGGGGCAUGAUAUAUGAUGAUGGAUUUUGUAGCCGCCACUAGUAUAUAUUUCUUCAUACAUAUACAUCUUUACAGUGAGCAAAAAUUUGCCCGCUGUUCAUCAAUGCUUGUUGAUUUCCCCUACCUACGUACUAUUGCUUACACUUCAAACCAGUAAUUAAAUACUCCAGCAGUAUAAUUCUUUGAGCGCUUUCUUCUUCUUCUUUUUUUUUUUUAACCAUUUAAUUAUACUAUAUGUCAAUUUGAGCAAUAACUUGUAUGGAACUGCUCAAAAAGUCAUAGCGUCAAAAACGGCUUCUUGCUCAGUAAUUAACAAUUUUCUUAAUUAUAUGCAAAUAAAUAUUUGAGUGAUCUAUCAGACGGAACAUUAAUGCGCGCUGGAGAGUUUCGUUUAUCUUCUUCCAUUAUCUUUCUGUGUCAUUUACCGGCACAUCAGAUGGAAAUUUCAUCAAAUUUUCCGCAGCCAUAUUUCCAAGAUUCUUAAACCUUCUUAUUUUGUGUGCUUAUUUCCGAAUGAAUAUAACCACCAUUUGUCCGGUUGUCCUCUUUUUUUUUUCCCCAACACAUCCAUUCAUGUAAUUUUAUUCCACGGAUAAUAUAAUAGCCACCCGAUCUAUACAUUCAUUCUUUACCCAAACUGUACCAUAACUUGUCAAGAACGCCACUACACGCUCUCAAUGCUACUUUUAUUGAUUUCCCCUACCUACGUACUUCUGUCUGAUAUUUGUUCAUUGACUUUUUGGAUCCUCUUAUUCGUUGUAAUAUAUCAUCAACAAAUUAUAUAUAUAUUUUUUUAAAAAAAAAAAAAAAAAAAGACAGACAGGAAACCGGUUUUACCUUUCCUUGUUAUUGAUUUUUAAUCCAGUUUUCGCUUUGUUCUGGAGAGUCAAAAGAAAUAAAGCCAAACGUGUAAAGUGAGAUCACAUCCGUGACUAGGACAGCUGUCAAAAGUUCAUUGGAUAACAGAUUUACUAACCAUGAUGCGAACGAUAUAUUGUAAUUAACCCAAAAUUUCUUUGCUCCAUCAAAGGCAAUAAUACACAGCUUUCUCCCUACGGUUAGCGGGUGAAACUGAUUCAAACUACUCGACUCGAGCUCGAUAUGUAUUCGAUCAGAAUUUCGAGUUCGAUCUCGAAUACACCCCUAUCUACGGUACGACAUCGUGCCACCACCGUUGAUCAUGGCAUUAAUUUAAAGGUCGUGCAACUCCCGACCUAGUUAUUUUUUUUUUAUUAGUUAGAAGAAAAACAUACUAACCUUCGUUUCGUCGUAAAGCAUCAGAUAUUUAAUUCUAGCGCACAGUCUUCUAACUUUUGUUUUUAUUCACUAAUUUAGGCCAAGUAAACCAGCAAUCUGCAUGCCACGAGUCAUGUGGAAAUACGAGACAACAUCUACUGGUCUAGUGUCGUACUGAUAGAGUAUUCUGCUUUUAUUAAUAUUUAUUAGGAGCCACUUGUCUAAGAAAUUAAAAGCAUUUUGUCGGGCGAUUCCCCAGCAACACGUUGAAGUUAUCGUCAAUCCGGUCAACCGACCGACCGCAAGAAACGGGCAUUUGUUUUUGAGUAUCGGAUUGAACUCAACUGAUUGAAACCUGAAUCGGUCAUUGACUCCGAUCUAAUUCUAUAUUUAAUUCAAGAAAUCAAAUGAAUCGAUCGAUCAAGAAUUGCUCGGGCUGAUCAAAAUCGUAAAAAAAAAAAAAAAGAAUUUAAUUUUUGAACUGAUUUUUUACUAAAUAUUUCAUAUGUGCGUGCGUGUUACUUUUAUCCAAGUAAUUUAAUAUUAAAAUAAUUAUAAAUUCAUUGAAUUGGAAUUGAAUCGUGAAUAAAAAAUUCAUUAGACUCACUUACUGAUCCGAGUUUCAAAAUAUUGGAAAUAAGUCAUCUAAAAGCAUAUCAUGAGCUUGUCUCUGUCGUUUUGCUAAUAGACUAAUAUUUUUUGCGAUUAAAAAUUGAAAACCUGCUGAACCGUAAUUUGAAAACUUAUCGGAUUUAUUUUUCCGGUUCAAGUUUCGAACACUGGGAACGAGUUCUAUAUUCUGAGCUUGUCUCCGUCUUUUGCUAAUGGUAGUUUUGGGAUUAAAAAUUUUGAUACACCCACUUCGAACUUGGAAAUUCUAAUGCCAGUUGCGUUGAAUUUAGCUAAGGGCUUUCGGCUUCUGUGUAAAUCCAAUAUAGCUUUAAUGACUAUUUCUUCCCCCAAAAAAAAAAAAAAAAAAAGCUUUAACAAAUUGAUGGCCCAUUCAAGGUUAGUCAGCCCAACCUCUAAAGGAGGAGGAUAACGAUUUAGUUGUUCCUUGAAAUUUGAGAUGCCUCAUUAGCGCGUGUCACUUAAAUAGCCCAGGAUCAAUACUGCCCAUUUGAUUUUAGGCCCGCCCGCUUAAACAAAAAGUGCAGGAAUUGUUCUGGAGUGUUGGGCCGUCGGAGUUCUAAAAAUUGGUUUUUAUGUCUUUUGGAAAAUCUGCAUGGUUUCAUAUACGUAUCCUGUUUCAAAGUACAAUUGCAUGCAAGUUACCACAGUAGUUCAUUGAUUGGUAACAAUUGUUUUUAUACGAAGAAAAGUUAAAAUUAAAACUACAUGACAAAUGCUAUAUAGCAUUUGACUUGUGAUUGUUCGCAAACACACAUUCUGGACAGUACAAUAAAGAUUUUACAUGAUUUUUGACAGCUAAUACAUCGGAAAUAUUUGCCGGUGAACACUAAUUCAUUGGAGACUGAAGGGUUUUCCUCGAUUGUUAUUUUUGAGAAAAACGGAUUUUGUAUUGAGAAGAUGAUUUCAAAAUUUUUGAAGAAUCAAAUAAAAUCUUCAGGCAUCAAUUUCAUAAUCACCUAUUUGGACUGAAUAUGACUACGACAGAAGUCAAAGAAGCAAAAGGGUACAGCUCAAAAUUUCUUUCUUUUUUUUUUUUCUGGAAAUAUUUGCAUAUUAAGAUAUAAUAAGAUCAGUACUUUGUUCUAAGCAAAUCAUGAACUGAUCGGAAAGGCAAGACCGACAUUUCAGUCUUUUCGUUUGCAUUUUAAACAAAAAUUUCCCCGUUGAAGCGGUUGGAAAUUUGGCAUGAAAUGAUGUUUAUAGUCUUUGCUCUAGAAGGACACAUAAUUGUUUGAAGUUGAAACCGUCAUAUUGAGUAAAUGUACAUCGACUCAGCUGGUAGUUAAAUUUCGCUUUAGAUAAAAAAGAAAGGAAAAAUUCAAACCUACCCAGAAUGUAUGUAUACUUUCUGGUUUCUAUUUCUGUUAGUACAUUGGGAAGGAUGUUUAAAGCCUUUGUUCUUGAAGGACAGAAAAUUGUUUCAAGUUGAAACCGUCGUAUUGAGUAAAAUAUACGUUAAUUAUGGUGGCUAAAUUCCGCUUCGGAUUAAGAAAGAAAAAUGCUUAAUUUCUGGCUUCUGCUCGCACUUUGGAGAACUGCUCCUUCCGUGAAAGGUUGGAUCUCAGUUGUACCAAAAAAGAAAGGUCAAAAAGAGAAAAAAAUGGUAGCUCUAAUUGAUUAUACAGGUUUGCAUGAUGCGUUGCAUGAAAUGAUGUUUAUAGUCUUUGCUCUAGAAGGACACAUAAUUGUUUGAAGUUGAAACCGUCAUAUUGAGUAAAUGUACAUCGACUCAGCUGGUAGUUAAAUUUCGCUUUAGAUAAAAAAGAAAGGAAAAAUUCAAACCUACCCAGAAUGUAUGUAUACUUUCUGGUUUCUAUUUCUGUUAGUACAUUGGGAAGGAUGUUUAAAGCCUUUGUUCUUGAAGGACAGAAAAUUGUUUCAAGUUGAAACCGUCGUAUUGAGUAAAAUAUACGUUAAUUAUGGUGGCUAAAUUCCGCUUCGGAUUAAGAAAGAAAAAUGCUUAAUUUCUGGCUUCUGCUCGCACUUUGGAGAACUGCUCCUUCCGUGAAAGGUUGGAUCUCAGUUGUACCAAAAAAGAAAGGUCAAAAAGAGAAAAAAAUGGUAGCUCUAAUUGAUUAUACAGGUUUGCAUGAUGCGUUUGAUAGUGAAUACUGUGAAAUUUCAUGGCCAAAGUAAGGGCUUUGAGAACUUGGUAACUUUUUUUUUUUUUUCCUAAUCAUGAUUUUAUGUGGUCACUGUUUAUGGUUGUAACUUUUGAAGAGGUUUAUGUUGCAAUAAGCACAAUAAGUUUUUGCAAAUAAUUAAAGGUAAAUAAAAAUGAAAACAAAAUACUUUUUGGAAGAAGAUAAGAAACCGUUCAACCAAAAAGAUAAAUUAAGAUCAUAGUGGUGGUAUUUCAUGUAAAGUCUAUGGGAUUUGAUGCAUGGUGGCUGACCAUUACAAAUUUUCAUGUGUGAAUAUGUGAGGGUGAACAAAUAUUUGGUGGCCUCUGGUUUGAUAACAAAAGAAGCAAGGACUAAUUCCUUUUUUUUUUUUUUUGGAUCCUGGGGAAGGUCAUAGACCUUUACAAAGAAACCAAGCGGGGGUGUAGUCACCUCCCAUUACCCCAUUACUUCUGAAGCAAGUAAGGGCCUCAGCUAACUUGGUGGAUCUUCCAAUCUUGUAACGCCUGGUUUCGUAUGAAAACUUAUCUUGGCUAACCUGCGAGCACAUGAAUUGUUCUACUUCCAUGAGUGAACUAAUCUACACUCCCAACUUCUCUCGACAAGGACUAACUCCAUUUUAUACUCUCCAACUUGUACCUUAAAUUUCAACUUUAGACGCUUUGUACUUCUGAACACGUACCACUUUUUUACGUUGUAGCAUAAACUUUAAUUUUUGUCAUUUUGAUAUUUUACACUUUAAAUCAAUUUUGAACACUAUACAUACUAAACUCUCAAGUUGGUCUCAUUUAAAUGUAAUCAAUAACAACUCUAGCAAAAUUAACAGCAUAAAGAACUUGACAAAUUAAUGACAAUGUGUUAAAAGUGGUUAAAAGAUUCCAUGGCAUCGUGACCAAAAAUAAAAAGAAAAACACGUUGUCAUUAAUUUGUACCACCCUUUAUCUCAUUAAUUUUGCUUAAAAUAUUAGUGAUUGGAAUAUAGAAAUCAAUGACAAUAUUUGAAAGUAGUAAAACAAAAUCAAGGGAUUGCAGUUAGAAUGAAAUAAUACAUUAUUAUUAAUAUUCAUCGUCCUUUAACUUAUUAAUUUUUGCAAACGUUAUCAACUAUUAGAUUGAAAGGGGACAAACUUGAGAGGUUAAAGUUUAAAGUGUCCAAAAUUGAAAGUUUAGCGUACAAAAUGUUCAAAAUUAAAGUUUAGGGUAUAAAGAAAAAAAGUAGUAUCAGUUUAGGAGUGCAAAGUAAAGUUAAUCCAAGAGGUAAAAGAGCAUGUAUGUUGACUUGGAGUACUUCCUUUAGUCCUGAACUCCUGAUGAACCAACAUUGACCGAGUUACUCCAUUUCGUUUCGGAUAAACGGGCACACAUUAAAGGAAAAUAUAACUGCAGAAACUUUCCAACUGGGGUUUUGACAGAGUCAAGACAUGACUAAGGUCACUCUAAAGCUUUGUCCCUCUUCUUUUCGAUGCCUAUUUAAAAGGAUAGGGCAUAUUAUAAUAAGCCCACUUGUUUUUGUUCUCGUCUCGGUCGAGUUUUCUGAAGUUCCUUCGCUCUCUUUUUGGUGAUCAAGUAGUUGUUGGGCCUCAAAAUCGUACCAGUAAGUUAAUAUUUGUGGAAAUGGGAAGAGCUCCGUGUUGUGACAAAACCAAAGUUAAGAGAGGACCAUGGUCUCCUGAAGAGGACGCCAUUCUCAGAAACUACAUCGAGAAAUAUGGCACGGGUGGCAACUGGAUUGCUUUACCCCGUAAAGCAGGUCUCCAGCUUAUGCUUUUGUUUCAUUACUGUUGAUGCCUUUACAAGCCGUGUAAUGCAAAAUUCCAACUUAAUUGUGUUUGGUGGUAUUUCUUGGAUUGCUGUCCCGCAAAUAACUACUUAUUUUAACCUGCCUGCCUUUCUAUCUCCAUGACUACCCUGCCUGUUCAAUUUGCAAUAUGUACUUGAUGUUUUAAUUUUUGGAGUACCGGACAACUUGGAAUCUUGGAUGAUCCCCUUUCUGAGACAUUGCUGAUCUUUUAUGAUUAAGGUCUGAAACGUUGUGGCAAGAGUUGCCGUCUGAGGUGGCUGAAUUAUCUUAGACCAGAUAUCAAGCAUGGAGGGUUUACUGAUGAGGAAGAUAGUAUCAUAUUGACACUCUACUCUAACAUAGGAAGCAGGCAAGUCCACUAGACUCUUUUCCAUAAUUCUCCAAUCUCUUUUAACCAAUCCCUCAUAUUCUGAUCAUGCAAGGAACUCUUCAAUUUAUGCUGAUGCACAGAUGGUCGGUCAUAGCUUCACAUCUUCCAGGAAGAACAGAUAAUGAUGUGAAGAACCACUGGAAUACCAAGCUAAAAAAGAAGUUAUCGGCAGCAGGAGCAAAAAGAGCAGUCAAUGCCACCAAUCCAACAACCGUAAUACCAAUCGUCGACAGCAAUUCAAAUAACUUUACUAGCAAUCCCUCUGCUUUCACCUUAGCAACUUCAUUCAACAAACCCCAGCCAGAUUGUUAUGGAAAUUCGACUUAUCCCAUCGUAGGUUCAGAUGCACCCGUGCAAUAUUCAUCAAUGGAUCAUAUGGUUCCGGGGUAUAGUAUGACUGAAGUUGUUCCAGAUUUGCUUUACGACUCGUCAUCUACUGAUCAAUUCUCACUUCCAGAGCUCUUCGAAGUUCAAAAAAACAGCACGCUUCAGAAAAAUGGCUUCACCACUUCAUCAUCUCAAGAGAUUUCAAGCCUUUCACCUUCGUGCUCUCUUGCUAAGAGCUAUUCCUCUUGGAAUGACAACUUAUUUGGAGAAGAAGUGGGAUUUUUCAUGGAAUUGGAGUCUAGAUCAUCUAACUAUAAUCUCGUACAAAGCGCACAGCAAGAGGAGAAAGUCAGGAAUGAAGUUGAAGGUUCCUGUUUACCUAUCUAUUCUUAUCCUACUGCUAGUUUUUUUGACCAGAUGUCUGACAAUAUUUUGCCACCUCAAGGGCACCAUCAAACAGCGUUUCCAAUUCUUGAUUAACAAAAGGACUCGAGAUUUGUCAAACACCUAACUAGGAAUCUCCAAUAGUUUCCAAUGUUCCUAAUACGCACUUAUUCAUAGGAGAAUAAUAAUAAUAUAAGCUAUAAUUACAUUAUUAUGUCCCGGUUUUUGGCGAUGUAUUUUUCUUUCUUCAAGUGUUUUUAGACGUUCUUGAGUUACCUCUUUGAACAUUAUGCACAACGGAGGCAACUGCAAAUUGGAAAGUAUAUAUACAAAAAAAAAAAAAAGAUUUAUAAAUCAUCUUUGAAAUUGUAUUUAGCCAUAUUACUUGUGGAAGAUGCCGCCAUGGUCACUCUAGAGCUUUUAAAGUUUUCAGUUUAGUGAUUAGAACGAAUAGUUACUUACAUUUGCGACAAUUUCUUCUUUCAACGUUUUUAGGAUGAGGGAGGCUGACAUUCCAAACAAUAUGACCAGAUAAAACGUGGGUACAUUUAUUGGAGUGCUUCACGUACUCUUUCUCCAUUAGAACUGACGUUAGAAUGGGCAUUGGAUAACAACAAUUUGCAAUCUUGAAAUAAUAAUAAUAAUGUCAAAGGCAUCCUCAAGUGUAUUGAACCAGAAACAUAAUGUGUAGUUCUACACAGUGCAUUCGAUGUAAACCUAAAGUCGACGAAGCGCUGCGUUACGUUAAUGGAAAGCAGUUGACGAAGGUUUCAUUGUAUAUAAUUUAUGUAAGCUUAAGUAACCUGCACAGCUUCCUUAACUUUUGUGCAUCAAUUCUUGAUAAGAAGUUACUCAUCGUGCUUCCUUUUGCAUCUAAUCCAAGGGCACCAAGACCAUAGUGAACUCAUCAACGGACUAAUACACAAUUAGCCGAGUUUCUCAAAUGAUGAUAGUGUGUACAUUGACUGACUAUCAGUAUAUAUAAGAUUUACUCUUAUUAUUAUUAUGUUUUACUUUUACCACCGCGGCGGGCUGAGAGCCCUCAAUCCAUCCAGGUCAUGAGGGUUUGGAGCUGCAGGUUUAACAAUAAUGGCCAACAUCGCAGCCAUGGUUUCAGCGGUCGUUCAUUUAAUUCUGGCCUCCACCAUCGUGAGGGAUGACGCAGAAAGCAACUUAGUAGACUAUAAAGAACACGGAGCCCUGUUUAUUGAAUUCAACAUUCUUCGCAAAGUUGAGUACUACAUUGCAACGACUAGUGGCAUUUUUGCAUUGACAUAUUGUAGCUAAUUAGUACUCAUUCCGUCCCACUUUGAUAGUCUUGUUUUCCUUUUUCGUCUGUCCCAAAUUGUAGUCCACUUUCCCAUUAAGAAAUGUAGUAAUCUUUCAAAUUGUCUAAAAUACCUUUAUUAAAUAUCUUGUUAUUAAUACAUUGUUAUUAAAUACUAACCCACUACAUUGAAUACAUUGAGCUUUUCCAAUACUAACCCAUCAGCUGUAACUGAUAUUAAUUGGCACUCUUCGUGUUUAGCAUAAGGAUAUUUUAGAAAAUUAUUAAUCUAAAUUUAUGUUUCCAACCAAAUCAAUUACACUUUCUUAAUCUGUGUGAAAAAAAAAUCAAGACUAACAAAACGGGACGGAGGGAGUAGUAAUUUAGAGAGUGGAAAUAGACAGUUGGCUAAGAAGCAUGGCUUGGGUUUGGAUUGUAAAUUAUUUGAGAUAUUUUUACUGUAGUACUUUUUGUGAUGUGAUGUGAUGUGAUGUAUGUGAGGUAAAAAAAGUAAUUGGAAAGAUAAAAAUGUAUAUUAGAAAUUAUAAUGAUGAUACCCGAGUGUGUUUGGAUUGUGAGUUAUUUGCUUAAAUAUAUUUGCUUACAUCACCAUUACAAUUUCCAAUACACCUUUUUAUCUUCCCAAUUACCUUUUUAUCUCACAUACAUCACAUCACAAAAAAUGUUACAGUAAAAAUAUCUCAAAUAACUUACAAUCCAAACACACUCGAUAUAAACAAAAAUAUAUUUGAGCAAAUAAUCUCCUGUCCAAACACACUACAAUGGAAUCGAAUAGAAAAAUUAUUGUGUCUUUUUCACUUUUGGGUGGGAAUGGGCUAAUGAAUGGAAAUCCGCAAAUGAAAGUAGAUUUAACUAUGUAGUAUAAAAUUGGGUUUGAUGCUGGGCAUGGCCGAUUAAUUAGUACAUGCAAACAUUCUCUAUUAAUCAAGACCGACUUUACCGGUUUAGCUAUGUUGUUAACCAAUUGCCCCGUUAAAGAGGUAGCGUUUGCAACUACGAACCCUUGCUUGGGUUAAGGAAAAUAUACUUGUACGAUGCCAACAUAUUUUGCAGCAUACAUAAGAGCUCGGAAAACAACUACACAGCCUCUCGUCUUGUGCCGAAUUAGGCAUCGAGAUUACCAGAACAUCACGGUGACAUUUGUAGGUUUUAGUCUUCGUAGGAAGCCGAAUUCGCUUUUGUUUUGUAGGUUAGGUUCGACUGACCAAGCCGCUUUUAGAAGUCUUCUUUUUUGUUUCCAUUCCAAAUGGAAUUUGCUCACAUCUACCUCCCAUGCUCUGUAAUAUAAUAUGAUGACUACAGGACUCCAAAUUUCGGAGGAUUCUGAAUUCGACCUGCAUAAUUAUAUAAUUGAUGGAAUAGUAAUCAAGAUAAAUUUCUAUUAUAAUGCUCCUUAUCAAACUUUUUAAGAAUCUCUUAUGAAAUAUCUAGAAUAAAUGUUCUAUUGAUUUUAAUCCAGGGCCUUGAAUUCCAGCCGUCUCAAUUUCAAAGCGGAUUUAUUGUGGGAAGAGUGCGCUGUAACCUGUUGCUGCCAACCUGGUGGGGUGAAUGAUUCGCCCACUCAACUCCACGACCCCGAUGAAUGAUUAACCUACCUAGAAUGGUGGGAUCAAUAUAUACAAAGAUUAUAUAAUUGAUAAACAUAUAGAUAGUGAAAUGAAAACUUAAGCAUCAACUUAGAACAAGCUUACAAUUAGUGAACUUGAUUUUGGAUCUUUAACUUGUACAUUGUGGGAUUCACUCAUUCUCCUCCGAACGAAAUAUUAUUUGGGAUAAUUUCACUAUCCAAACAAACCUAGAUUGGAAAGCUCUUGCCUCCUAAUGAUGUGAUGGAUGCUAAUUUUCAUGGAAUCGACUUGCUGCCACCAGCUAUACAAGAAAGGCAACUCAGGCACACAAACACACAGGGGAUAUCUGAGUCUUAGGCCCGAUUAACCCCCUUCAGCUUGGGAGAAGACGCUUUAACUCACUUCGAGUACGGUAAGUAACUACGAGAUUCGAACAUUGGUCAAUACUUUAAAGAAGAACUACAUGACCGACCGAGCUACCUAGUGGGAGUAGGCACAUUUGUAUUCGAGAGGCACAUAAUUGAUUCUUUAUUUUCUAUAUUAUGUAUAGGCACGUGGAAUACAGGAUAGUAAAUAAAUCUCUAAUUCAUUUUCUUAAUUUCGCGCACUGUAACUGCCGCAAAAAGCGUAAACCAGCAUAUGUAAGCGGGUGCCUCUCAGUAAGCGAAAAUGUCGCGAGCUAAAGCGUAGAGGGUAGCAACUAGCAACUAGCAACUAGCAAAAGCUAAUUUCGUCAAAGGGGCAACAAAAAUUUGUUUCCCGCCAAGAUGGGCGAUUUCGGACGAAUAUAUAAUCUCUGCGUUUCUGUGUGCGUGCAACUCUUAAAAUCGUGUGACUACUGCUUCUUCUUCUUCACACUUCUGAACCCUGCUUUCGCCUGCAGCAUCAUCUGAAUAUUUUGCUACCAAUGGUAAGUAAAUAAAGCUUCAAAAGCUGCGUUUAGAUCUAUUUGAUUUUGUUAGUGUCGUCGAAGUCAUCCCUAAUCCUCAUUCUUAUCUCUUAUCAAUCAACCGUCCUUCCAAAUUUAGUAUUUUUCUCUUCUUUUUUUUGGGGUUCAAAACUUUAGAUGAAUGGGAUUAGUUCCUCUGAUAGGCUGAUAACUAAUCAACUUCCAGGUAGCUAACGUUUCAAAUUAGUAUUUUUCCUGAUUUACGUUGGUUUUAGAGCUUUUUUUUGGGUAUCAAGGAAGAAAUUGUCAGGCACUGUUAGAAAGAAAUUCAAUUAAACGUUUUUGGCAGGGGAUUCUAAUUUGUUGAACAGACUUUGUUUAUUUGUUUAAUUAAUUUAUUGUUACCAAAUUGCACACUUGAAUGAGGACAAUUGUUUUUUUUUUUCAAAUUUUUAUUAGUGUUUUUAUCAUUAAUCAUACAUGCUUAUGGUUUGUAAUGUGUUUGAUGGUGCUGCAGUCCAAGAAAAGAGGCCUUUCGUUAGAUGAGAAGCGCGAGAAAAUGCUACAAAUAUUUUAUGAGUCACAGGACUUCUUCCUUGUAAGUACACAAUCCUGCUUUGUUUUGAAAUUUAGAACUCAGUGCACGUCCUUCUGGCCUGGAUGCAUCAAAGUGUCGCUCGAUGGAAAUCCCAUUUACUGCAUUUGUUUCUUAGUGAUUUUAUUUGUUGUUGCAAUUGCUAAUUUGGCAACUGUUGAUUAGACUUGAAUGAAUUGUGAUGUUCUGUCCUGUACUGGCUGUAAUUAUGAAUGCAGUAAUGCGAUGUCAAAUGACAUUUUAGCUGAUGCACUUAACACAUUUUGAUUGGAGUACAUUUUGUAUUCGUUUGCAUUUGUAAAAUGUCUUCAAUUCCAUGGCACAUUCAGAUGACCAACUCAGAAUUGAUGUGAGAUAUUUUUUGAGCAUCUGCUUACUAUUUCCCAAGGCCCGCUCGUCUUUUUCCUGUUUAUCACAGAUGCUUAUGGUGUUAUGUGUAUGAUAAUCUGGGUAUUUCGGCCUUCAUGUUGGUUAAUCACUUUUGGAAAAUUAGUAAAUCCUAACCUAAAAUCCAUGGGCAGAACAAUCCUUUUAAAAGUAUGUCAUAGACUGAGAUUCAAUGGUACUGAAGGCGGCGCUGAUUUGCUUAAUUCUAGCAUAUAUGAAACCCCUACAAACCUUAUUGAAUGCCUGAGAACAUUUUAACUGAAUACUUUUCAUAUUUUGAUGGUGUGCCUUCAAAUAUUUAAACUCAUGGAUACUCCAUGUAUAUUCCAAAUAGCUGAUGUCCCCCCAUGGCUGCAAACAUUUUUGAAAGUUGGCAUAUGAUUUGUUGUCAGCAUGUUCAGUUAUUCUCGUACUAAGUCCCGCUGUAUUUUGCUCUAACCAAGGACAUAGUUUAGGUUUUUCUUCCUCUGCACUUUUUUAUACAAUUGAUAAUUUGCUGCUUAACUGGGAAUGCAAUGUACCUUGUUCUUUAAUAGAUGCAUGUGCUUUUGCUACUCUUCUAUUCUUUUAAUCUGCUAGAAAAUAAUUUUAAUGUCUUUGCACCUGAAAGGCUGAAACCACCUUUUUCUGCUCCUUUAUGAAUUGACAUUGUUCUUUUUCUUUUUCUACCUCUUGGAUUCUGAAUUUUUCUCAUGAGUUUCAGCUCAAGGAACUGGAGAAAUUGGGUCCCAAGAAAGGCAUUAUCAGCCAGACGGUGAAAGAUGUUGUCCAGAGUUUAGUGGAUGAUGACCUUGUUUCAAAAGACAAGAUAGGGACUUCUGUGAGUAAACUUGUCCAUACGGAGUUAGAAACGUAAUUCAUAUUUGACAUUCUGUAGCUGAACAUUACACAGUUUAUUUUGGUUAUACAAUGUUCCCGAACCUUUAUUCCAUGAGUUACCAUGUAUUCCAGGUAUACUUUUGGAGCCUACCAAGCUGUGCUGGAAACCAGGUACUAUUGUCAUAUAAUGCUUUUGAAAACCUGUUGUUGAUUUGAACUAUCCUGGAAUUAACGCCAAAACAUUACAGCUGAGGAAUGUGCAUCGGAAACUGGAAGCUGAUCUUCAAAAUUGUAAGAAGCGGCUUGCUGAACUUGAAGACCAAUGUCAUGCUUUGAAGAAGGGAAGAGAGGAAUCUGUAAUCACAUUCUAACCCAAUUGGCAAGUUUUUAUAUGCCUUGCAGUAAAUCCAUGUAUCUAACAUGUGCAUGUGUACUAGGUUGACAGAGAGAAGGCAUUGGAUGAGCUGAAAGCCAUUGAAGAGAAACAUAAUGAGCUAAAGGUUGACAGAUCUCUCCUCUCUCGGGCAUUUCUCUUAAAGCUACUGGUAUACAUUUGCUUAUUAGGUUCUAUUACGCCUUUGCUCCAUUUUUCAGGAUGAAAUGGGACAGUAUGCAGACAAUGAUCCAGCUACUUUUGAGGCAAUGAGUUGAGGGCUCCUACACUUUCUUUCCAUGCUUUAACUACAGUAUUUUUUUUGGGUUAAAUUCUUUUAAAAAUUAGUGAUUUUAAUGUCCUCUGAUGUCUAUGACCUCCUGUUGGCAGAGAAUGCAAUUGAAGUAGCUCAUGCAGCAGCUAACAGAUGGACAGGUCACUUUAUUUUAAUUUACUUUAUUUCAUAUAUGAUGAACGAAACAGCGAGAUUUUCAGAUUUCUUUCCCUCUCCAAUUAUCAAUUCAACAACUCGCAGAUAACAUCUUCACUCUGCGGCAAUGGUGUUCAAAUAACUUUCCCCAGGCCAAAGAACAACUUGAUCACCUUUUCAAUGAGGUAGUUGUGUUCAUUGCAAACAGUUUGCUCUUACUAGAGAAUGAAUCACACAAUUAGAUUAAUAGAUGUCCUCCAAAAUUUGGAGAGAGAGAGGAUUAACUUAAAAAGUGCUUCAUUUCCACGCAACAAGAUUUCUUAUAUUUAGCAGCUUCUCUUCAUGUCUAAAACAGGUUGGAGUUACGGAUGACUUUGACUAUUUGGAGUUGCCUGCAGUUGUUCCCCUUGGCCCGGGAGAGCAGACAGUCGAAACCUACAACUGAGUAUAUAACGCAGUGUCACCGGAAAGCUGUGCCCGCACCAAUAUACAGUAAUUAUACCAUUGAAGGUUAAGUGGUUCCAUUAAAUAUCAUUAACUGGUCCUGGGAUCUUCCCAACUUGAUCUUUAGACCAACAUCCUUGGCAUUGUGUGUCAUUUUUUCUCACCACUUUGUAAUGGUAGAAAGUGUAUAUUCAAUCUCAAAUUCUGAAAGUGGAUCACCUGAAAACCAACUGAAGAUUCUUAUAAAUAUUUGAAGUCCUUAGAAACGUGCAUUUAGACUUUGGACAGGUGCUCAAACCAUGGACAUUCUUCCCCACCACGCACCCCAGCCCCCAGCGCGCGCUCUCUCUCUCUCUCUCUCUCUCUCGUGUUUGCUCUUGCUCUCUUCGUUUCUCUUUGAAAGGAAAACAUGGAGUCUCCUCCGCCAUUAACUCUCUCUCUCUCUCUCUCUCUCUCUCUCUCUCUUUUAAAAUACAUUAUAGGUCCUGCAGCAUCACAUGAUGGUGGAUAUUAGUGCCUCAACUAUUGCAUUACUUACACACAUUGUUCAGUGGAAGUAAAUGGACAGUCAAUUGAUGGUACUUAAAUGUUUGGGGCCAGACCUACUGAAGAUUUAUUACAUGCAAGUUGCAGCACCCCUUUUGGGGUCAGACCUAAAUCCAUGGAGCCGUUGCCUCCAUUGUAGUCCGCCGAAAGACCCAGAUCCCAAUUGCUAAGUGAUUGUCAUUUCUACUUUAAUCUUUAACCUAAAUGUUUUUGACAGAAACUGAUCAAAAUUAAUCCUUAAGACACUUUGGAUGGAUCAGAGUUUUUGUUGAAUCCGUUGCUUCAAUCAAAAGCAGUACGAAUAAUUCACAGCCCUAUAGGCACACAACGUACUACUAUCAGGCCAGCAAGGAGGAGAUUUAGGGAAAGCACGAUGUCAGGGAAUGAAGGGAGACAGGCGAUUGCAUCUGUGGAGAAGAGUGGUAAUCCAAGAGAAUGAGGGGUAAUCCAUGAAGGUAAGAGCUGAGCAGAGUGGGAGGCAUUGGGAAGGGCUCAAAAACAAUGGAGGUAAAGGAGGGGGGGGGGGAGGAGGAGGGGAGUUGGGUUCAUCUCCAGGGACAAAUGAAGACAAGCUGGAAGCAUCUGGGAAGAAGAUGACCCGUAUAGACUUAGGUGUCUGCGCGUACCUAUUAUGGUGGGUUUGCUGUAAGUCCGAGGUUACAGGCUUCGUAAUCCUAGCAGGACUCCAACCGCUUUUAGAUGUGAUGUGCAUGGGGAUUUGCUGUCAUUUUUCAUUCUUCACCAUACAAGAGACUUUAGUCCAGUAAAACGAGUGAUUAAAAAGAAGACAAAACAACCUGUUUGACUUCCCUUGUGUUAAAGCGCUUUCAGUUUUCAAAGAUUUUGACAAAAUUUUGCCUCUUCAUCCAAUGAAAACGCAACCACUAGUUUGCGUUGUUUCCGACCAUAUUUUAGAAGCAUGAUUUAUAGCUGUGUAAUAAUCUCAUUGAACAUCAGUUUCCAAACUGACUAUUGAUCUUAGGUAAUACAUAUAAACACUUCCUAUGGUAAUAGAUAUAUAAUUGCUGUAGUAUUUGUUUUAAACAAUAAUAAUGUGUUUUCGGUACCUAUGGAUGCACAAUUAUAUUUUCAAGGUUAUAUUAUUUUAUUUAGCUAUUCUGUUUCCGUACAUAACCAUAUAUUUGGUAUGAGAAACACUUCCCAUGAUUAAUUCAUUACCUUUGUUUCACUCUUUAUAUGGGAUGGGGCCAAAUGGAGAUCAACUCACUCUUUAUAUCGCGAGGUUGGAGUUUUAAACCCUUUGAGUUUGGGACCUGCAUCUUUUUAAGUCCAUAUUUUUAAUCUAAAUUAGUUCUUAAGAUAAGACAAAAACAAUUCAAACACAUAUCUUAGUUAGAUAAAGGGUUUGAUUAUUCUCCACACUUUGGGUAUCCCUACCACAAAAGUGGGAUUUGGAAGGUGAAGCUCUCAGCCAUCCGACUAUAGAAAUUCAAGACUGCCAAUGCCAAAAUCCCAUAAAUAUAUAUAUAUAUAUAUAUAUGUUUUUCUAACGUACAAAUUCAUACAAUGCACAAUACGUUUUCCAAAUCUGCUGUGGCAUUCCAUUACCACAGAUAAAGAAAAGGCCAAGGCUUCACAGGCCAGAAGGAACCGCAAAAUCCACAUGGAAGAUUGAAAUUUGAAGAUGGAGAAAAUGAAAGGAGAGAAUAAUCUACUUUGGUGCAUGUGGGCAGUGGGAGGCAAUCAGCGCUUGCUGGACGAUGUAGACGCACAAGGAAUACUAUCAUUUUGUACAUGUGGCAGGAAAAGCAGGCCAACGGCCCAGAUGGGUUUAGAAAAUUAUGCAAAAACAACAACAAAACAUAUUAAUAUUGACAAAAUUGGUAGACGUCACUUUUCAAUUUCAAUUUCAAUUUCAGAGUCCCACACCCUUAAAAACCCUAAUCUCAAUCAAUCAAGCAAGGAGUAGGAAACCUCAAAUGAAUUCAUAGACUAAAAUAGUCAGAGUGAAGAAGGAAGGAGUAGGAAGACAAGCCACUUCGGGCAUAGGCUUAGGGGGGCGGUAGGAAAUUCGUAUCUCUGAAUCGUGGCAAAUGGAAAUGCUCAGGACAUGCUUUGUUAUGAUCACCAUUGCCCUCGUCUUCUCUCUGUUGCUUCCUUCCGCCAAUGCUGCUCAAGUUCCUGCCCCUGCACCUUCCCCAUCAAGCGAUGGUAUGCUCCAUCCCCUCUCUCCAAAGUUUUUGGCAACAUUUUUCUCUUCCGCUGGUUUUAGGCCCGCAAAUCUCAAGGUCUCAUGUUUAGCAUUCUCUUGCAUAAUUUAUGUGACAAGUGCUGAUUCUAAUCUGGUGUAAAAAUUUCUUUCCGCUGCAGGGGUUUCGGUUGAUCAAGGAAUAGCAUAUGUCCUGAUGCUUGUUGCUCUGGCAGUUACCUACAUUUUUCACUAGAGAGUACAUAGACAAUUCUGCUCUGUAUUUCAGCUCAACUCACCUUAGAUAAUGAGAUCCUGUCUUUUCUACAAUUAAUUCAAAGCUCAAAUCCAAUUCUUUCUACUUCUGAAGCUUGGACUUCCCAAUUUUGUGCACUUCUCUUAAAUCGCGAAAGGUCUGCACGACCAACCCCACUCCCAAAUCCAAUCACAUUACAGCUUCGGGGUGUAGGUUGAAUGGGAUCUUAAUUCUGCUGGCUCUAUGACAACUCUACUGGGCAAGUUUUGCUUGUAUGCAUUCGUCUCCUUGCAAUCUGUGAAGCUGUUUGAUAUUAUUGUUCCCAGUAAUUGCAAAUUUGGAAAGCUUCCAGUGCCAAGUAAUUUCUUUUUAGUCUAUUCGUAACAAAUUUGUUCAGCACUACUGGUAACAAUUUCUUGAAGGCUACAAAAUCUGGAAUGACGAGGGCCAGAUUGGUUGGCCAUAGUUUUUCAAAAUUUACACGACGCUAAACUGAGGUCUGAGGAUCCAGCCAUGUUCUUUUCUAUAACAGGAAUCUUGUUAAGUAUCAUAUUCUUUAAAUUUUUUCUAUAACAGGUAUCUUGUUAUUGGGCAUGUAAAUUUUUUUAUUUUAUUUUUAAUAAAAAUGUUGUUGGAAACGGGAUAGAAAAGCAUAGGAAAGUAACAUGAUAGAAAAGCAUAAUAUCUUGAAAAUAGAAAUGGCUCCAUUUGGAUUUGCAUUCUUUGAAAUGGUUUUUGGAAACGAUAAUCUAGGCUUUUAACUUUUGAACGCCAUGCAUGUAAAGUAAACAUGUAGUUGGAAAAAUAAUUUUGAAAAAAGAAUUAUUAGAGCGACUGUUUAAAAAAGAUUAAAAGUGUGAUUAUCCAAGCAGAGUUAUUAUUGCCGUCUAGGGAAAGAUUUGUUCAAAGUUCAUUGUGCAUUUUUAGUAAUAUCUAGUCUAUAAUAUCAUUGACAGAAUGUCAAAUACAACAGCUGGAAACGUUCAACAGUAUGUACAUCAGGGCCAGGCUUUCACCCUCGAGUAAGAGUCAAACUCUGUGGGCGCUCCCCGGACCGAAUCCGAAUUAGUCCGAAAGGGAUACCGGGUGGUUAGACCCAAAAAAAAAAAAAAAAAAAAAAGAGGAAUUGUUCCAUAGAAUGUAGUUUAGCUAAUGUUAUGACAAAAUAACCUAAGAUUUAGGGAUGGCAACGGGGCGGGGUUGGGGCGGGGGACCCCUCCCCCGUCCCCCGCCCCGUUGCCUAUUAGUUCCCCCCCGUCCCCCGCCUCCUGCUCCCCCCGCCCCGCCCCGCCCCGCCCCCGCCCCGCUUCCCCCGCGGGGUUAAUAAAAUUUUAUUAUAUAAUUUUAUUAUAAUUAAAUUUUAAUAAAUAAUCAAGUACUAAAAUAUCAACACAUCACCAAAUUAUUAUUCAUUGUAAUUUUACAAUUGAAACUCAUAAAAACAAUCAAACAAAAGUUAUUUGAAUACAAUCCAAUAUGAUGAAAUAAAUAUAACUAAAAUAGUCAAGUUUUCACUUUUAGUACAAAUGCAAUCACUAAUUCAUUAUUGUGUUUGUGCUUUUUUUUUUAGAAAAAAGUGUUAUUCUAUUAAGUGUAAUUAGAAAUUUAGUAUAAAUAUAUUAGUAAAUUUAGUAUAACUAAUUAAUAAAUUCUAUUAGUAGACAUGUAGAAUUAUUCAUAUAAUUGAUUAUAUCAAUUAUAUUACAUAAACUAAUAUACAUUAUAUAGUAUAUCUAACUAAUAAUAUCAUUAUCAUAAGUUUAUAACUAAUUAACUUACAUGUUAUAUAUAAUUAUAUAUAUUUUUAUAUAUUUUUUUUGUUUUGCGGGGGGCGGGGCGGGGGAUGGGGCGGGGGUAUACUCCCCCGGCCCCUGCUAAGAUUCACUGGAGAUUUACAAGAAACCACACGCAUUUACCACGUCUAACCGAGAUAGGCGGCCGGCAACGAGGAACGCCUCUUCUAGCCUAAGGGUGCAAGAAGAGAAAGCACGCUUAUCAAGUAAAUUAAUAUUUGGAUGCUUUUAUUUGAAGCGUUCACAGUAUUAGCUACUCGGUGUGUGUGUUCACCUCUCUCGUAUUCAACUACCCCCUCGUCCCAUUUUAAUAAUUUUAAUUUUUUUCACAUAAUUUAAAAAAAAGCGGUUAGAAGAGUAAAUUUAGCCUCCUCUUUUCCUAAAAUGCAGUUACAUUAAUAUUAGGGGUAUAAUUACUCAUAUACCUUUGCAUUAAUUACAACAACAAAACUAUUAAGAAAGUUGCACAAUUUAAAACAUGAAUCAAAACAAUUAUUAAAUGAAGGAGCUUAUAGUUACUUAAAACAAAGUACAUUAAAUAAGAGCAUUUUAUAGAAAGUAAAAGUUGAUUUAUAUUAUUCCAUUAGAUAGUAGACUAUAAUUUGCAGCGGAUGAACAAGAAAAACAAAAUUAUCAAAGUAAAAUGGAGAAAGUAUUUUAUAGGAAAUUUGCUCCCAUAAGAAGUCUAAGCAAAUAAAAUCUUUUCUAUAAUCUCAUGACAAAAUUGUAGCAUAGUCUUCCAGAAAGACCGAUCAAGCAUAAUUGCAAAAGCAAUGGAAGCAUAAAUGAAUGCUAAAUACAACUCGGUGAAUCUUUUGACCAAAGCCCACAACUGAAGAUUGAUGAAGUAUAAUCAAGAUCCCCAAGAAUUGACGCCAGCAACGUAUAGAAGUAGAGUUUUUUUCUCUGUGGACAGUCAGGAGGCAAGUAAACGAGCGAAGCACUAAAAAGAUUACAUACAUCUCGAGCAGUGAAGGUAAAAGUCCAUUUAUAAGCAUUAAACAACUUAUUACAGUGUCAGACAGCUCCAAUUUCCGCCGCACCACUUAUGUACACGGAUUUUCAUAACCAGCAAACAGGCAGAAAUCUGCCUAUGAAAACCACUACUCUCCAUAACGAUACACUAAACCUCCAAACAAUCUCACCAGACCAAUACCUGCAGAAAACUAAAUGUAUCACGACAACACAAAAAUACACUCCAAUGGAUCAAUUACAAAGAAAUUCUGUUAUUUAAUAUUUGCUGAAGUAACACUGGCCGCUAUAAAUUAUACACUAAAGAUAAUUGGGCCACGCAGUUCCAAAUGAUUCCAAGAAGCUCAGUGCUUUCAUCAAUGGCUGAAAACAGGGAAGAUAGAUACAGAUCCACUAGUGCCAUAAAUGCCACAUACACAAAUACAGG
rnacentral:lncRNA from 1 species